UCUCCUGGGCUGGCUGUUCAGCGUGAGGAGGUAAAGGACCUGUGAUGAUGUCAAGACCAUGUGAUCCUGUGUGGGAGGAGUCAGGCUCACAGGCUGUGCAACUGGAGGAGGUAAAGGACCUGUGAUGCUGUCGCUACCCUGUGAUGCUGUAUGGGCGAAGUCAAGUGAGAUUCCCUAGGUAAAGUCUGUGACCAGGGCCCCACCUAUGUUGCAGAUCUACAACUUUCAGAAUUUCUUGCCCACCAAAGACUGCCAGGACAUGCUCAGAGUUUUAGCAGCAGCCUCAGAGCCACAGCAACUCAUCAUGGGCCUG